UGGCUGCAGGCUGCAUGAUGACCUGCCAAGGGCACCUCAAAACGUCUGUCUUUACCAUGUGCUGCCACGAGGCAGGAGCCAGCAGAGCGCUUGAAUGCACAGCACAGGUCCUGCUGCCAGCACAGGAGAGCAUCUUUCAUGCUCUAGAUCAGCAUCUCUGUGGGCUCAUUGUUCCCUGCUCUCAUGCCACUUGGAUUUUGUGGCAGCUUUUGAGGCUAGAAUUCCAAUUGCACUCUAACAUGCUAGAAAGCCUCCAAAAUCAUGUAGGAAGCAGGUAAAAAAGUACUUCAUGAGCUGCCUGGCUUCUGGACUCUCCACUGGUUACUUUUUCUUAGUUUACUCUGGUACAGCAUUUCCUAGUUCCAUUUUCGAAAUGGUAUUUCCUCACUGUCCUGCUCCUCAUUUUUUUCUUAACUGGUGUUAUUCCACAGAAGACUGCAAGCAAACCAGUACACCUUGGCAUUCCUCAACCUUCCUGCUUGCUUGCUGGUUGAAAACUCCAUUGCUUGAUUACUUCUAGCACUCUACACAUUUUUAAUGAUACCCAUAAAAAAAGCAGCCCUUUGUAAAGACCAUAAACCCCAUAAAAAAUGGAGUGCUCUGCACAUUUUCCAUUACUCCUGAGUAGAGGUUAUUUACCCUGUCCAAAGGCAUUCUGCAGAUCAAUAAAACUCCUCCUUUACUUAGAUGUUCAGGCAUUUCAUGCUGACUGAUUAUGUCCCUCUCAACUGAAGACAAACUGUGAAGCAGCUCACAUUAAACCAGAAAUACAAGGAGAUCCAAAACUUUCCUGCUAAACUAAUCCUGCUGGGGAUCCCACUCAAAGGAACCAUUUCCCUCUGAAAUGGCACAGUCAUUUUUACCUGUGGUAAGGAAUUACACUACUACUCAAUCAGGAUUGCAUGGCAUCCCCCUGCAUGGUUUUAGAGGACCAUGUAAGGACCAACACAAGGGAGAAACUGACCCACACUUGCAGGGUGCUUCAGCUGCUGAAACAGGACACGGAUCCCACAGAAGAGCCCAGCUCAUGAAAGGCAAGAGCUCUCAUCCUACACGGCUCUGAACACAAGUGCACAGAGGACUCGAGCAGCACGAGGACAGCAGGGUGAGCAGGCCCUGGCUACUGCCUGGGAGCACAUCGUGUUCCACAGCAAGACACAAAGGCUGACUUCCUGCAUUCCUCUCAGCACCCUCAGAGGGCUCCUGCAGCCAUCUGCAAGCUGGGUCUGCUCGUAGAGCCUGAGGAGACACGAGUCAGCGGCAGUAUUUAUGAAAGCACACACACCACCCUGCCCCCAGAAUGGGAUCUGCUCUUCAGAACUCUCAGCAGGCCAUCUCCUGGGAACUGGACACUUCAUGCCACAGGACGCUGAGCAGCAGCCCGAAGUGUAGCUGUAGAGAGGGAGUCUAAAGAUCAUGAUGAUCACCAUGGUUGUGGCUAAUUUUCCUAAAGCCUGAUCCCAGGAGGAGCAUCAUGUCCAUUCCACCCAAACACUGCACAAAGGGUUGUGCACCUUUGCAGACUUCCAGAUGAAGACCUGACAGAUCCCAACAGAACUGAGGGUAUAAACCUGGUUAUACUGUGA